CCUACGGGAGGCAGCAGUGAGGAAUAUUGCACAAUGGGGGAAACCCUGAUGCAGCGACGCCGCGUGGGUGAAGAAGUAUUUCGGUAUGUAAAGCCCUAUCAGCAGGGAAGAAAGAAGACGGUACCUGACUAAGAAGCACCGGCUAACUACGUGCCAGCAGCCGCGGUAAUACGUAGGGGGCGAGCGUUAUCCGGAGUCACUGGAUGUAAAGGGAGCGUAGACGGCCGUGCAAGCCAGGAGGGAAAUCCCGGGGCCCAACCCCGGUACUGCUUUGGAAACUGUGCGGCUGGAGUGAGGGAGGGGGAGGCGGAAUGCGUGGUGUAGCGGUGAAAUGCGUAGAUAUCAGGAAGAACACCGGCGGCGAAGGCGGCCUGCUGGACCGCGACUGACGUUGAGGCUCGAAAGCGUGGGGAGCGAACAGGAUUAGAUACCCCAGUAGUC
rnacentral:rRNA from 1 species